rnacentral:rRNA from 1 species
GCUAAGGCCCCAAAAUGACAGCUAAGUGGCAAAGGAGGUGAGAGUGCAGAAACAACCAGGAGGUUUGCUUAGAAGCAGCCAUCCUUUAAAGAGUGCGUAAUAGCUCACUGGUGGAGCGCUCUUGCGCCGAAAAUGUAUGGGACUAAGUUGUCUGCCGAAGCUGUGGGAUAUUAGUCUUUUAUGUCUUGCAAAUUUGACAAUUUUCUAAUAUCGGUAGGGGAGCGUUCUGCUGUAGGUUGAAGCGUAUCUGUAAAGAUGUGUGGACGAGGCAGAAGUGAGAAUGUCGGCUUGAGUAACGCAAACAAUGGUGUGAAUCCAUUGCCCCGAAAACCUAAGGGUUCCUUUACUAGGUUCGUCCAUGAAGGGUUAGUCAGGUCCUAAGAUUAGGCCGAAAGGCGUCGUCGAUGGAAAACAGGUUAAUAUUCCUGUACUACUUGUUAUAUAUGAACUGAGGGACGAAGAAGGCAGCCACACAGCAGAGUUGGAUCUGUUGAGAGACGUUUGAGGUGAUGAAAGAUAGAACAAAAACUAUUCUUGAGCUAAAUCGUGUUAUGCCCUUGUCCCUGAUAAUUCCUCGGAGUUAUGAAGCAAGGUUUGUGUCUACUGCCCUCGAGCUUCUUUAUUAUGACAGUAUCUGUACCCGAAUCCGACACAGGUAGGUAGGUAGAGUAUACUAAGGGGCGCGAGAUAACUCUCUCUAAGGAACUCGGCAAAAUAGCCCCGUACUC